rnacentral:rRNA from 1 species
CCUACGGGAGGCAGCAGUGAGGAAUAUUGGUCAAUGGCCGUAAGGCUGAACCAGCCAAGUCGCGUGAAGGAAGAAGGAUCUAUGGUUUGUAGACUUCUUUUAUCGGGGAAUAAAGGUAUCCACGUGUGGCUAUUUGCAUGUACCCUAUGAAUAAGCAUCGGCUAACUCCGUGCCAGCAGCCGCGGUAAUACGGAGGAUGCGAGCGUUAUCCGGAUUUAUUGGGUUUAAAGGGUGCGUAGGUUGUUUUUUAAGUCAGCGGUGAAAGUUUGUGGCUCAACCAUAACAUUGCCGUUGAAACUGGAAGACUUGAGAGUGCUUGAGGUAGGCGGAAUGCGUGGUGUAGCGGUGAAAUGCAUAGAUAUCACGCAGAACUCCGAUUGCGAAGGCAGCUUACUAAGCCAUAACUGACACUGAAGCACGAAAGCGUGGGGAUCAAACAGGAUUAGAUACCCCUGUAGUC